AGAGUUUGAUCAUGGCUCAGAGCGAACGCUGGCGGCGUACUUAACACAUGCAAGUCGAACGGGGAUCGUCGGUGUAGCAAUACAUCGGCGGUUCUAGUGGCGUACGGGUGAGUAACACGUGGGUAACCUGUCCUAGAGUUCGGGAUACCCUCUCGAAAGGGAGGCUAAUACCGGAUACGUUCCUCGGGUUGCGAAAUCUGGGGAGGAAAGGUGGCGCAAGCUGCCGCUCUUGGAGGGACUCGCGGCCUAUCAGCUAGUUGGUGAGGUAACGGCUCACCAAGGCGAUGACGGGUAGCUGGUCUGAGAGGACGACCAGCCACACGGGAACUGAGACACGGUCCCGACUCCUACGGGAGGCAGCAGUGGGGAAUUUUCCGCAAUGGGCGAAAGCCUGACGGAGUGACGCCGCGUGGGGGACGAAGGCCUUCGGGUCGUAAACCCCUGUCAGAGGGAAAGAAGGGUGUCGUCGCGAUAACCGCCGGCAUCUGACGGUACCUUCAGAGGAAGCCCCGGCCAACUCUGUGCCAGCAGCCGCGGUAAGACAGAGGGGGCAAGCGUUGCUCGGAAUUACUGGGCGUAAAGGGCGCGUAGGCGGGAUGGCAAGUCAGUCGUGAAAUCUCUCGGCUCAACCGAGAAACGUCGGCUGAUACUGCCGUUCUUGAGGGAUGCAGAGGAGACUGGAAUUCCCGGUGUAGCGGUG
rnacentral:rRNA from 1 species